rnacentral:rRNA from 1 species
AUGGGCGCAGCCUGAUCCAGCCAUGCCGCGUGAGUGAUGAAGGCCUUAGGGUUGUAAAGCUCUUUUAGCAGGGACGAUAAUGACGGUACCUGCAGAAAAAGCCCCGGCCAACUUCGUGCCAGCAGCCGCGGUAAUACGAAGGGGGCUAGCGUUGCUCGGAAUCACUGGGCGUAAAGCGCACGUAGGUGGGUCGUUAAGUCGGGGGUGAAAUCCCAGAGCUCAACUCUGGAACUGCCUUCGAUACUGGCGACCUUCGAGUUCGGGAGAGGUGAGUGGAACUGCGAGUGUAGAGGUGAAAUUCGUAAAUAUUCGCAGAACCACCAGUGGCGAAGGCGGCUCACUUGCCCGAUCCUGACGCUGAGGUGCGAAAGCGUGGGGAGCAAACAGGAUUAAAUACCCUGGUAGUCCACGCCGUAAACAAUGGAGGCUAGCCGUUGGUGAGCAUGCUCAUCAGUGUCGCAGCUAACGCAUUAAGCUUCCCGCCUGGGGAGUACGGUCGCAAGAUUAAAACUC